UACGUAGGGGGCGAGCGUUGUCCGGAUUUACUGGGCGUAAAGCGCGCGCAGGCGGUCCUUUAAGUCAGGGGUGAAAGCCCAGAGCUCAACUCUGGAACUGCCUUUGAAACUAGAGGACUUGGGUACGGGAGAGGUGAGUGGAAUUCCGAGUGUAGAGGUGAAAUUCGUAGAUAUUCGGAAGAACACCAGUGGCGAAGGCGGCUCACUGGCCCGUUACCGACGCUCAGGCGCGACAGCGUGGGGAGCAAACAGG
rnacentral:rRNA from 1 species